GCGGUGUCGGGGGAUCCGGACGCGCCGCCGACGAUCCUGGCGUCGACCCCGGUGGAGAACGAUCCGGGGGCAACGUUCGACACCUUGAUGUCCCA
rnacentral:tRNA from 1 species